AAAAACAUCACCUCCAGCAUUCCCAGUAUUGGAGGCAUUGCCUGCCCAGUGACAACUGUUUAACGGCCGCGGUAUCCUGACCGUGCAAAGGUAGCAUAAUCAUUUGUUCUCUAAAUAAGGACUUGUAUGAAUGGCCGCACGAGGGUUUUACUGUCUCUUACUUCCAAUCAGUGAAAUUGACCUUCCCGUGAAGAGGCGGGAAUGCACAAAUAAGACGAGAAGACCCUAUGGAGCUUUAACUAACCAACCCAAAGAGAAUAGAUUUAACCAUUAAGGAAUAACAACAAUCUCCAUGAGUUGGUAGUUUCGGUUGGGGUGACCUCGGAGAAUAAAAAAUCCUCCGAGCGAUUUUAAAGACUAGACCCACAAGUCAAAUCACUCUAUCGCUCAUUGAUCCAAAAACUUGAUCAACGGAACAAGUUACCCUAGGGAUAACAGCGCAAUCCUAUUCAAGAGUCCAUAUCGACAAUAGGGUUUACGACCUCGAUGUUGGAUCAGGACAUCCUGAUGGUGCAACCGCUAUCAAAGGUUCGUUUGUUCAACGAUUAAAGUCCUACAUGAUC
rnacentral:rRNA from 1 species